rnacentral:rRNA from 1 species
GACGUAGGGUGCGAGCGUUGUCCGGAUUUAUUGGGCGUAAAGAGCUCGUAGGCGGCUUGUCGCGUCGACUGUGAAAACCCGCAGCUCAACUGCGGGCCUGCAGGCGAUACGGGCAGGCUAGAGUUCGGUAGGGGAGACUGGAAUUCCUGGUGUAGCGGUGAAAUGCGCAGAUAUCAGGAGGAACACCGGUGGCGAAGGCGGGUCUCUGGGCCGAUACUGACGCUGAGGAGCGAAAGCGUGGGGAGCGAACAGG